rnacentral:rRNA from 1 species
CUGGCUCAGAACGAACGCUGGCGGCAUGGAUUAGGCAUGCAAGUCGAACGGUGCAGCAAUGCAUAGUGGCGCAAGGGUGAGGAACGCGUGAGUAACCUGCCCUCAAGUUGGGAACAGCUUCUGGAAACGGAAAUUAAUACCGAAUGUGACCAUUAGGAGGCAUCUCUUAAGGGUUAAAGGCCGCAAGGUCGCUUGAGGAGGGGCUCGCGUCCCAUUAUGCUAGUUGGUGAGGUAAUGGCCCACCAAGGCGAAGAUGGGUAGCUGGUCUGAGAGGACGAUCAGCCACACUGGGACUGAGAACUGCCCAGACUCCUACGGGAGGCUGCAGUCGAGAAUUUUGGGCAAUGGACGAAAGUCUGACCCAAGCAAUGCCGCGUGCGGGAUGAAGGUCUUCGGAUUGUAAACCGCUGUCAAGUGGGACGAAACAAAUGACGGUACCGCUGAAGGAAGUCACGGCUAACUACGUGCCAGCCGCUGC